rnacentral:misc_RNA from 1 species
UUAUGGCACUUUUUAAAUCCAUAUCCACCUUGUGUGCAAUGUCAGUCGAUCUUCUUCAUGGAGAUCGACCAAACAUCAACCUUUAUUUUUUAACUCUUUGUCUGAAAAAUAUUAUGAAUAAACAAUUCAAAAUACAACUUUCAACAACGGAUCUCUUGGCUCUCGCAUCGUAACAACGCAGCUGCUGGAUCGAAAACAACGCAGCCCACAACAAACCACAGCGUGUGAUGACGGCGGCAACCUGACCUGGG